rnacentral:lncRNA from 1 species
UUAUAUCAGGAAAGGUAUCAAAGAAGUUUGAAGGAAUAUCAACAAACUAAACUUGAUUCAACCCAACCGUUACCACAAGAUGUGACUUCAAUAUGGACACAAAUAACAAGUAGAAUAAAAAAAGGUACAAAGUUAUAAAGAAAUGUUCGUUUUAGUAUUAGUUUGCAAGUUGUGCGUUUCCUCUUUGACUCAUUUUACUUUCUUUUUCUUUGUUCCCAUAAAAAUAAAUAAAGGUGGAGUCUACGGACUUGAAGUACAACUAUCCUCUAAUCGUGCGCAGCUACAUUAUUCGAUGGUGCUUCUAUUUCACAAGAAGAAAUGGAGGCUAUGAGGAAUCAAAUUAAUAAUUUGACGCAAUAAUAGAGCACAUGUCAGAAAACAAUAACUAUGAUGCGAACAUUCAUGAAAAAACAUGGCAAUCAACCUUCAAUAGAGGAAUCUAAUAAUGAGGAUGAGACUGAAUCAGACGACGAGGAGAAAUAUUUGAAUUGUGGUGUUAUGUUUUAAUUUGGCUGCGGUAAAUGAAAUUUUAGACUCAGUUUAUUUUUAGAUUCAAUAAUGAACGUGAUAUUAUUUAACUAUUUAGACUUUAUGUGAUUUGAUUAAAACUUUUAGACUAAAUGUGGUAGAGUGUUUACACUUGUUUGAAGUAUUUACAAUGCUUAGUGUUGCUUUAGAUGUUUAAUGUCACUUGAGUUCAUUGUGAAUUAGGACUUUGGGUUGGCUGUUUUAUUUGGCAGGCAGUGAAAUUGAAAAUACUGCAGAAUUCUGCUGAAAUCUGCAUAAAUUUUUGACAGAAGCAGUCGAAUAACAAACCUGAAAAUUCCUAAAUUUCCAAUCGAAUCUGUCAGAAUAGAUGAACUUCUAGUUUUUGUUAAUUCUUGCGCCCGAUUCGAUCGAGAAAACAUGAAUUUUCAGUUAUUUAUUUUUUAAAUUAUCCACCAAAAUUAGUCGGUAUAUUUUAUUUUCAUUUAUUUAUUUUAAAAUAAUCCGACAGAAUCGGUCGAAAUAUUCAUUUAUAUAUUUUAUUUUAAUUGUUCGACUAUUUCGAUCAAAAAAUGUAAGACUAUUUCCGUCGAAAAUUUUAAAAAUAUGGUCAUUCUUUUUUUUCCACAUAUUUCGACCGUACGUUUUGAUCGGAAAUUUUCUAUAGUUCUAGUUGAAAAUUUGUAGACCAUGUAUAUUUUGACUGAUAAUUUCUGUCAAAAAUCUGUUUUCGAACGAUUUGCUAGAGGGAAUUUUACCGUCUUCUCGUAGUGUUACAAAUAGAUAUUUUACUUGACAUAUAUGUAUCUCUUAAAACACAUGCGUCGUGACGUGGAAAAUAGUGUGUGUGGAACCAUAUUUUGAGAGCGUGGGAUCUCUUAAAACUAGCUAACAUGUGAAAAUAGCCCCUAUAAUUUUGUCUGUUUCUCAACUCUAUCUCAGAUACUCUCUCCAACAACCCCUUAAUAACCUCCAAAAUUCUCAUAAAAUUUUCAACGUACUCUAUCACCGGAAAAAAAUGACAGGUCGCCUAAAAUUUCCAUUAUUGAUAAUAUAUAUAAUUGUAUAUCGUGUGUAUCACUCUAUAUCUCGCACAGAUUUUCUGCCAGGCGCAUUUUCUACUAGUGUAUAUCAAAAUGCAUAUCGUGUAUAUUAUUGUAUAUCGCAAUAAUAUGAUGCACACACAAGUAUGCAUGAUGAUAUACAGCGAUAUAAACCACCUUAAACACCUAUUUUCACAUAUCAUAUGGCACAUCACCAUCACAAAAAUAUUAUAACUACCAAUCAUUCAAUCCUAGCAACACAUCAUAUCAUUUCAACUAAGUUGCUCCGACAUGGCAAUUUAGGUGCCGCACCUGACACUAGUAUGGGUUUAGGUAUGGGAUCCGUAACGGAUCUGGUCAAACAAUUUUGCGUACUUUGACCACGACGGACGAAAAAAUUUGAGACGAUAUACAAUUUAAUUCCCGAAAUCAAAACCAAAACUAGGGUAAAUUUGAAGAAAAUAGCAUACCUUCUCUAGGAUAUCAAUCCUUUACUUAUCUACAACUUGAGAAUAAAAAAGAAAUCCACACUUUACAAGCUAUACAUAAGUGUCCACAAAAUUUCUCAUAAAUUAGAGAUAUUUUUUAUAUUUUUAUUUUUUUGAAUUAUUUUUAGUCGGAUCCCCGCACUCGUAUCUUUACUAGGAUCCGUAUCCCCGGAUCUUAGAAUUUACAUCUCGAAGGAUCCGACCUUUAAAUCCGCACCCGUGUCGGACACCUGCACCCGUGUCCGAGCAACUUAGCAUUUCAAUCCGAGUAAAGAGAAGAAGAGGGAAGAAAUUUAGAUAUGCCGCUUCAUAUAUUCAAACUAAUAGCAAAUCAAAUUCUUCGCACUCUCGGUCCAAUUAAUGGUUAACCAAUUCAUCCAAGCCAUCUAUUCAUAUUUUCCAGCCAAUGGAAUAGUUACCAGAUUCUUAGUGCAUACUACUAUUCCUUGAUUUAAGAUUGAGUAAAAAUUUCGGAGAUGUCAAUUUAUAUUGAAACACGGAUAAACAAUAAACAUGAAAAAAUAAAUUAGAAUUGGAAAGCAGAACAAGCCUCAAUACGUUAAAAAUGGAGGCAAAAAAUAGCACAAGAAUAUCUUUUUUUAUGGAGGGGAUUUACAUCAGCUAGACCUACCUACUCAGUGGGGUCUUGCUACAAAUGUAUUUGUAACCUGAUAUAAAAUAGCUUCUUUUCUUAUAAUAGGUUAAAGCUAUAUCAUGAGAUAGUUUUAUGAUUUCAGUCUAACUAGUUUAAGCAAUUCCAACUCAUUGCAUGCUAGUCAGAUAUUUCCAUCCUUUCCUAAUAUCCAACGUAAUGAAAAAAGAAUAAGAAAAUAAUGAUUUAGAUAGUCACAUCGAGUAUAUCAAAUUCAUAACUAUGUGAUCAUUGUAAAAGAGCCAUUCUUGCUAACCUCUAGUGUGAUUUUUCUCUAAAUAUCAAGCAAAUGUACCAGUCACAACCCCAAUAUUGUUGAAUUGUGUGGAAUUGCCUGGCUGCCUCCUCCUCCCUGCAAACCAACACCGACGCUAUUGUUACUCAAACCAAGUACAUAUUGAAAUAAUUAUAAAGAUCUUACUUAUAAUGAAAAAACUUUAGUAGAUUACAACGUAAAUUUGAAUUAGUAUCCAAUUUGAAUCCAAAAUUUUAAUGUGUGCCUCAAAUAUUAUAUUAAGAAAUUUCAAAAUUAUAAAGAAAAAAGGCCCGCAUUAGUCUAAAUGAGAGAAACUAAUAACUAGUACAGGGAAGGAGGGGUGCGGGGGNNNNNNNNNNNNNNNNNNNNNNNNNAAUCCAUCACAAGAUAGCAUCGACUGUUGCGAGGUGUACAAGCAGGCUCCAGGGUUCAGAUCUCUGGGGGCAUCAUCAACUACUUCAGCAGGCUGAUCUGAUCCGACACUUGCCAGACAUCCACCUUUGCAGCCCAUGUACUUUUGCAUCGUCUCGCACUGGUUGAGCAAUAAGAAUUUGUUGGGAACACAAGAUUGACCACUUGAUUUGCACACUGAAUUGCAUGAUUCACCUUGUCUUCCUAUCACAAUAUUUAUACCAGCUAGUCUUGCUUCAGCUUGUGCACCAGAAGAACCAGAAGAAUUAGAUGGUAUAGAGAAACAAUGAUGAAAUUCACUGAGAUAAGCGUUUUCAUGAACCACACUCUCU